AUUGAACGCUGGCGGCAGGCCUAACACAUGCAAGUCGAGCGAGGGGCGGACGGGGGAGUAAUGUCUGGGAAACUGUCGGAUGGAGAGGGAUAACUACUGGAAAAGGUAUCUAAUACAGCAUACCAUCAGAUGUGGCCAGACGGGAUUAGCUAGUAGGUGGGGUAACGGAUCACCUAGGCGACGAUCCCUAGCUGGCCUGAGAGGAUGAUCAGCCACACUGGAACUGAGACACGGUCCAGACUCCUACGGGAGGCAGCAGUGGGGAAUAUUGCACAAUGGGCGAAAGCCUGAUGCAGCCAUGCCGCGUGUGUGAAGAAGGCCUUCGGGUUGUAAAGCACUUUCAGCGGGGAGGCGUUACCCGCAGAAGAAGCACCGGCUAACUCCGUGCCAGCAGCCGCGGUAAUUC
rnacentral:rRNA from 1 species